AGGAAUAUUGGUCAAUGGGCGGAAGCCUGAACCAGCCAAGUCGCGUGAGGGAAGACGGUCCUAUGGAUUGUAAACCUCUUUUGCCGGGGAGCAAAGCCGGGCUCGUGAGCCCGGAAGGAGAGUACCCGGAGAAAAAGCAUCGGCUAACUCCGUGCCAGCAGCCGCGGUAAUACGGAGGAUGCGAGCGUUAUCCGGAUUUAUUGGGUUUAAAGGGUGCGUAGGCGGGAUCUUAAGUCAGCGGUAAAAAUGCGGGGCUCAACCCCGUAGUGCCGUUGAAACUGAGGUUCUUGAGUGGGCGAGAAGUAUGCGGAAUGCGUGGUGUAGCGGUGAAAUGCAUAGAUAUCACGCAGAACUCCGAUUGCGAAGGCAGCAUACCGGCGCCCAACUGACGCUGAGGCACGAAAGCGUGGGGAUCGAACAGGAUUAGAUACCCUGGUAGUCCACGCAGUAAACGAUGAAUGCUCGCUGUCCGGGAACUACGGUCCUGGGUGGCCCAGCGAAAGCGAUAAGCAUUCCACCUGGGGAGUACGCCGGCAACGGUGAAACUCAAAGGAAUUGACGGGGGCCCGCACAAGCGGAGGAACAUGUGGUUUAAUUCGAUGAUACGCGAGGAACCUUACCCGGGCUCAAACGUUUCAGGACGAUGCUCGAAAGAGUAUUUCCCUUCGGGGUCUGAGACGAGGUGCUGCAUGGUUGUCGUCAGCUCGUGCCGUGAGGUGUCGGCUUAAGUGCCAUAACGAGCGCAACCCCUACCGACAGUUGCUAACAGGCAAAGCUGAGGACUCUGUCGGGACUGCCGGCGCAAGCUGAGAGGAAGGCGGGGAUGACGUCAAAUCAGCACGGCCCUUACGUCCGGGGCGACACACGUGUUACAAUGGCAGGUACAGCGGGAAGCCAUAUGGCGACAUAGAGCGGAACCCGAAAACCUGUCUCAGUUCGGAUUGGAGUCUGCAACCCGACUCCAUGAAGCUGGAUUCGCUAGUAAUCGCGCAUCAGCCACGGCGCGGUGAAUACGUUCCCG
rnacentral:rRNA from 1 species